rnacentral:rRNA from 1 species
GCAGUCGAGGGGUAGAAGUCUUCGGACUUUGAGACCGGCGCACGGGUGCGUAACGCGUAUGCAAUCUACCUUUCACAGAGGGAUAGCCCAGAGAAAUUUGGAUUAAUACCUCAUAGUAUAACGACCUGGCAUCAGGAUGUUAUUAAAGUCACAACGGUGAAAGAUGAGCAUGCGUCCCAUUAGCUAGUUGGUAAGGUAACGGCUUACCAAGGCUACGAUGGGUAGGGGUCCUGAGAGGGAGAUCCCCCACACUGGUACUGAGACACGGACCAGACUCCUACGGGAGGCAGCAGUGAGGAAUAUUGGACAAUGGGCGCAAGCCUGAUCCAGCCAUGCCGCGUGCAGGAUGACGGUCCUAUGGAUUGUAAACUGCUUUUAUACGAGAAGAAACACUCCUUCGUGAAGGAGCUUGACGGUAUCGUAAGAAUAAGGAUCGGCUAACUCCGUGCCAGCAGCCGCGGUAAUACGGAGGAUCCAAGCGUUAUCCGGAAUCAUUGGGUUUAAAGGGUCCGUAGGCGGUUUAAUAAGUCAGUGGUGAAAGCCCAUCGCUCAACGGUGGAACGGCCAUUGAUACUGUUAGACUUGAAUUAUUAGGAAGUAACUAGAAUAUGUAGUGUAGCGGUGAAAUGCUUAGAGAUUACAUGGAAUACCAAUUGCGAAGGCAGGUUACUACUAAUGGAUUGACGCUGAUGGACGAAAGCGUGGGUAGCGAACAGGA